rnacentral:rRNA from 1 species
GGAUUAGAUACCCUGGUAGUCCACGCCGUAAACGAUGGUUACUAGCUGUUCGGUCGCAAGACUGAGUGGCUAAGCGAAAGUGAUAAGUAACCCACCUGGGGAGUACGUUCGCAAGAAUGAAACUCAAAGGAAUUGACGGGGGCCCGCACAAGCGGUGGAGCAUGUGGUUUAAUUCGAUGAUACGCGAGGAACCUUACCAGGGCUUAAAUGUAGAGUGACAGGUCUAGAGACAGACUUUUCUUCGGACACUUUACAAGGUGCUGCAUGGUUGUCGUCAGCUCGUGCCG